AAGCCUAUGAUGAUUAGCUUUCAAGUUGGAAUUACCGUCAGAUUCCAGAUGACGAUAUAUUUGCGGCUUUCUGAGGUUUAAA
rfam:Triticum aestivum genome assembly, contig: Triticum_aestivum_CS42_TGACv1_scaffold_423671_5BS